rnacentral:lncRNA from 1 species
CUUAACUUUUAAUUUAUCUUUAAAGAGUAAAUGUAUUAGAGGACUUACGUUUGUAUUCUACACUGAUAUGUAGUAUGCGAAAUAUAUGUAGUAUACACUAGGGGGUGGCAGGUAACCUAGUGGUUAGAGUGGAGGGGCGGCAGGUAACCUAGUGGUUAGAGUGGAGGGGAGGCAGGUAACCUAGUGGUUAGAGUGGAGGGGAGGCAGGUAGCCUAGUGGUUAGAGUGGAGGGGAGGCAGGUAGCCUAGUGGUUAGAGUGGAGGGGUGGCAGGUAACCUAGUGGUUAGAGUGGAGGGGAGGCAGGUAGCCUAGUGGUUAGAGUGGAGGGGAGGCAGGUAACCUAGUGGUUAGAGUGGAGGGGUGGCAGGUAGCCUAGUGGUUAGAGUGGAGGGGCGGCAGGUAGCCUAGUGGUUAGAGUGGAGGGGAGGCAGGUAGCCUAGUGGUUAGAGUGUAGGGGCGGCAGGUAGCCUAGUGGUUAGAGUGGAGGGGUGGCAGGUAGUCUAGUG